rnacentral:tRNA from 1 species
GCGGCUGUGGCGGAAUUGGUAGACGCGCUAGCUUCAGGUGCUAGUGGGCAGUAGCCCGUGGGGGUUCGAGUCCCUCCAGCCGCACCA